GAUGAAGAACGCAGUGAAAUGCGAUAAGUAAUGUGAAUUGCAGAAUUCAGUGAAUCAUCGAAUCUUUGAACGCACAUUGCGCCCCCUGGUAUUCCGGGGGGCAUGCCUGUCCGAGCGUCAUUACAACCCUCAAGCUCAGCUUGGUGUUGGGCCCCGCCGCCCCGGCGGGCCCUAAAGUCAGUGGCGGUGCCGUCCGGCUCCGAGCGUAGUAAUUCUUCUCGCUCUGGAGGUCCGGUCGUGUGCUCGCCAGCAACCCCCAAUUUUUUUCAGGUUGACCUCGGAUCAGGUAGGGAUACCCGCUGAACUUAAGCAUAUCAAUAGCGGAGGA
rnacentral:misc_RNA from 1 species